GACGAACGCUGGCGGCGUGCUUAACACAUGCAAGUCGAACGGAAAGGCCCUGCGUUUGUGGGGUGCGCGAGUGGCGAACGGGUGAGUAACCCCUGAGUAACCGGCCCUUGACUUUGGGGUAACUUCAGGAAACUGGGGAUAAUACCGUAGAGUAGCUCCUGCUUCAAGGUUGGGGUUGGAAAGUUUCGGCGGUUGGGGAUGGUCUCGCGGCUUAUCAGUAUGGUUGUGGGGAAGUGGCUUACCAAGGCUUGGACGGGUAGGCGGCCUGAGAGGGUGACCGGCCACAUUGGGACUGAGAUACGGCCCAGACUCCUACGGGAGGCAGCAGGGGGGAAUAAUGCACCAUGGGCGGAAGCCUGAUGCAGCAACGCCGCGUGCGGGAUGACGGCCUUCGGGUUGUAAAACGCUUUCGCCUGUGACGAAGCGUGAGUGACGGUAAUGGGUAAAGAAGCACCGGCUAACUACGUG
rnacentral:rRNA from 1 species